rnacentral:rRNA from 1 species
GACGAACGCUGGCGGCGUGCUUAACACAUGCAAGUCGAACGGAAAGGCCUGCUUUCCCUUGUGGAUUGCGGGUACUCGAGUGGCGAACGGGUGAGUAACACGUGAGUGAUCUGCCCCCAACUUGGGUAUAAGCCUGGGAAACUGGGUCUAAUUCCCGAUAGGACUGCAGGGUGGUGCCUGUGGUGGAAAACGAUGUUCUAGUGGUUGGGGAUGAGCUCGCGGCCUAUCAGCUUGUUGGUGGGGUAAUGGCCUACCAAGGCGGCGACGGGUAGCCGGCCUGGGAGGGUGUGCGGCCACUUUGGUACUGAGAUACGGCCCAGACGCCUACGGGAGGCAGCAGUGGGGAAUAUUGCGCAAUGGGCGGAAGCCUGAUGCAGCGACGCCGCGUGGGGGAUGACGGCCUUCGGGUUGUAAACUCCUUUCGACCGCGAGGAAGCCACCUGGUUGGAAGGGUGGUGACGGUAGUGGUAGAAGAAGCACCGGCUAACUACGUG